AAUUGGAUCCGCAAAAAUACGAAUGAGUCCCAACAAAUUUAGCUGUGGCACGUCCGUGUUAUGAAGGACAAGAAGGAACCGCGGGCUUGUAUAACUUUUUAAUUUGGUGGCAAAAAGUCUCCCAUAAAUAUAAUAAUAGCUUUUCACCCUUGGAUGUAACCAAGAUAUAACCAAGUAUCACAUAAGGGGGUGUUCAUUCGGUAAAUACAAGCUCCGGACCGGUAUCAAAAUUAGUUAAAUUCUGAUACUGAUAUCAGAACUGGUUAGAUGGGUGUACCAAAUUGAUUUAUCGGUU
rnacentral:lncRNA from 1 species